AGGAGGAAGAGCCCCAGUGGCGGGGCCAGCUCUGGAAACCUGGAUUCAGCCCCCGCAGGAACUCCGGAGCUCUCCGUCUGCAGGGCCUGGAGGCUCCGGGGCGGG
rfam:Canis lupus familiaris chromosome 23, whole genome shotgun sequence.